AGAUCAAAGAGCGGAUCUUUUAUUUCAAAUAAAUAGUUAUGGCUUUAUUUUUAAUUCUUUAUUGAAUUAAGCAUUGCAAAGUUUUCUAAUUCGAGAUGAACGUGUUUCAUAUUGUCUUAGUUAUUGACGGUGAUCUUGUAUUCAGUUGAACUAGUUAUUCUUUGACAUAUGAGUGUUAACUUAUUAUAAUGUACAGACUAAAUAAUGAUGAAGAUUUGUAAACAUUCAAAAAUACUUAUUUCAAGCAAUAUAUUUUGUGUUUUAUACUCCAACAUUCAGGAUAAUACAUUUUGUAUUCCACAUUCCGACAUUCAUGUGAAGGAAUUACCACAAUGAUGCUUUACAAAGGAUUAAUACUUCUUCUAUUGGCUGCUGCCCCUGGAAAUGUCGCUUCCCUGUUUUGUUAUUCGUGUAGCAACGUUGAAAGUAUGGACAGUUGUAAAACUGUUAAAACAAACGAAAGUGGAGAGGUAUGUUUUUAAAUAACUUAUACAUGGGUACCUUACACUUUCAAAUAUAAACACGGUAAUUAUUUGUAAUUCUUUCGUGGGAUACAUAAAUUAAGUUAA